rnacentral:rRNA from 1 species
AGCAGCCGCGGUAAUUCCAGCUCCAAUAGCGUAUAUUAAAGUUGUUGCAGUUAAAAAGCUCGUAGUUGAAUUUCGGAAUCAAUAUGUCGGUCGUGCCUUGGUACGUACUGGUAUCAUUGGUUUCUCCUUUCUGACGAACCAUGAUGUCAUUAAUUUGGUGUUAUGGGAAGUUAGGACUGUUACUUUGAAAAAAUUAGAGUGUUUAAAGCAGGCUUUGGCUUGAAUACAUUAGCAUGGAAUAAUGAAAUAGGACGUUCGAACCUAUUUUGUUGGUUUCUAGGAUCAACGUAAUGAUUAAUAGGGAUAGUUGGGGGCAUUAGUAUUCAAUUGUCAGAGGUGAAAUUCUUGGAUUUAUUGAAGACUAACUACUGCGAAAGCAUUUGCCAAGGAUGUUUUCAUUAAUCAAGAACGAAAGUUAGGGGAUCGAAGACGAUCAGAUACCGUCGUAGUCUUAACCAUAAACUAUGCCGACUAGGGAUCGGAUGAUGUUAAUUUUUAAUGACUCAUUCGGCGCCUUACG